rnacentral:rRNA from 1 species
CCUACGGGGUGCAGCAGUGGGGAAUAUUGCACAAUGGGGGAAACCCUGAUGCAGCGACGCCGCGUGAGUGAAGAAGUAUUUCGGUAUGUAAAGCUCUAUCAGCAGGAACGAGACAAGACGGUACCUGACUAAGAAGCCCCGGCUAACUACGUGCCAGCAGCCGCGGUAAUACGUAGGGGGCAAGCGUUAUCCGGAAUCACUGGGUGUAAAGGGAGCGUAGACGGCGAGGUAAGCCUGAAGUGGAAGCCCGCGGCCCAACCGCGGAACUGCUUUGGGAACUGUUUUGCUGGAGUAUGGGAGGGGUAAGCGGAAUUCCUGGUGUAGCGGUGAAAUGCGUAGAUAUCAGGAGGAACACCGGUGGCGAAGGCGGCUUACUGGACCAUAACUGACGUUGAGGCUCGAAAGCGUGGGGAGCGAACAGGAUUAGAUACCCUGGUAGUC